ACGCUGCAUCUCACACUAAGAUAGCCAGUAAUCAAAGGCGUCAACCUAGGUACUUAUGACCUAACAAAGUGAGGGUAUUACAACAUGUGACUCCUCCCCCCGCCUCCCACCUCACCUCACUAAGUAGCUUCAGAGAUAACCCACUGGAGACUGACACUCACCUCCCAUCUGUCUUUUAUCCUUGCCGGGGGUCAGCAGGGUUGUUACAUGGCCUAGGAUGUGCUGGGGCUCAUGGAUCAAGAAAGAGUUCCUGAGGGGCAUUGAGCAAGUGUCCUGGAACACUGGUCAGGCUUUGGGGAGGAAAGGCUCUGGGGAGGCCGAGCUUAUAAGGAGCUACACUUCCUGUUACUUUAAGCAACUGAGAACAACCAGGAAGAGCAUGGUCCUUUGGUUUGGCUCUGGCUACCAUGGGCAAGAGGGGCCUUGGCCCAGACUGUCUGAAUCCCUCAGUGGGGCAAGAUUUUCAUUUUGAGGCCAAGCAUUUGGAGACUGGCUUCCACCUUUCGGCUCUCUAAUGAUGCCAGAGGCAGAAAGAACACAGCUUGACUCUCGAAUUCCAGCGUUCGUCCAUUUCAGGGAUGAGCAGAAAGAAAAAAAAGAGAAAAGAAAGAAAAGAAAAAGCCCUUCGGCUCACAAAGUAAGAAUCUUUGAAAUGAAAGUUCUGCAGAGAGUAAAUAUGAAGCACCACAAUGCCAUCUCUGGAGCCACAUUUCAGAGCACGAGGGCAAUUCCACUAUGUAACGGAAGGUUGAGAGAUUUCAUGUUCCUUAAUUAAAACAUAUCUCGGGAGCCAGUGGGAGGCACCUGCACAGCCCCUACCUGAAGAUGCCGAUUUACAGAAAAACUUCCAGCCGUGGGAUUCAUACAAGGGACACGCUGGCAAUUGUGAGUUUCUUUUCAAAUCGGCCUCUGUCUGUCAUACCUAUGUAGUUACAAAAUCAAAAGGGAUAAUAAAGUUCAAUUGUAUAUUCA